UAUUCUUCCCCCUUUUCUUUUUCUGUUAAAGCUCUUUCCUAAUUGUUAACGAAGAAGUUUUGUCCCAAGAAUGAAAACCAUUUCUUCAAACAGUGAUGAGGUAAAUUUUUGGUUAGAAACAAAAUAUUGUUUUCAUCAACAUCAUCUUUCUUAUCUCUCUCAUUUUCUUGUCAAUUUGCCCCUAAAUUUCAAACCCUAACAUUUUCCUCAUAAACAAAAUCAUAACAUUUUCUUCAUGGUCCCUGUAAAUUUACCAAUUAGGUGUGCAGCACUACACUUAAGUGAAUUCAGGAGAUUUGACAUAGCCGAAUACGAUGAGAGUGGUUGUAUCAAUUGGUUAAAUGAAUUCUCCAUGUACCGCAACAAAUUGUUUCAGAAAGAGUUGGAUACCCACGUUAGUUAAUGUUGUUUACCACAGUGGUGUCAUUAAGAUUUACCAGUCUCCCAAACCAUUCGAUUGUGUGGGAUCAAAUGUCAAUUAAUAGAGCUGGAAAUGUCGAUAAUAGGAUUUGAGAGUUGAUUCUCCAAGCAUGUUGUGGAGGUGAAGGUCUACAACUGCAACAAAUCUGUUCAACAUGGAAUUGUUUAUGCAAGAGUUUAUGGUGUAUGUGAAUUGAUAUGGUUUUCAUUUUAUUAUCUUUUAGAUUUUAUCGUCUUCGUUGUAGUUUUACAAUUUGAGAAAAUGGCUCCUGAACAGAAACUUGUAAUGUUGGUAAAGGAGUUGUUGGUUGAAAUUUUUGGGUAGUUAAUUUUAGAGGAGAGUUGAAGUUACUGUGUCUCCAAGACAUCACAAACACGUAUCUGGGUUUGAGUUGUCACAGUAUAUUUUUCAUAAGUGCACACGGCAAGUUUGGCUAGCACCAGGUCUGAUGAGUUGCUGGAUGUUAUUAUAGGAGUGUCGGAUUCCUUGGUGUGGUAUUCUGAAUCUAAGUUAUAUAAAAUAUUGCAGAAGUUCUCAACCAAAGAAGCCAAGAAGUGGAGAUUGUGUUCCAUAACACAUCAUGUAAAAAAUCCGAGCAGCGCAGGCUCUCUUUUAUUCUUGAACCUGUGUUCGUCGAUGACCUCCAAGAAUGUUACUGUGGUUAUGAACGUAGGCUUUACCAUUGAUGCUUUAUUUUCCGAUCGGGCGCGACGUUCUCGUUGGGACCUUCGCAUCCUUUCCUGUCAAUUCAAUUAAGUGUGGAUCGAUUAGACUGCACAUGACUGCAUGCUUCUUUGGUCCAAGGAUACAUUUCUGAGUCCCGGAAUCAGUGACCGAUGUUAUUUGUGGAAACUGGCUGUUUGGCAGUUCUUGUUUGUGCCUUUGCCGCCACUCUUUUUCUUGUUUUUCUUGUUCUCUUCGUGCUUGUUGUGCCAAGGAUCUUAAUAUAGAAGUUUCCGUCUUUUGAUCAGGUCCAAGUAUACCUUUCUGUAUCACAGAAUCGGUGACCGAUGCUAUUUGUGGGAACUGACUGUUUGACAAUUUUUAUUUGCCUA